rnacentral:rRNA from 1 species
UUACCUCAGUAACGGCGAGUGAAGCGGUAACAGCUCAAAUUUGAAAUCUGGCCUCACGGUCCGAGUUGUAAUUUGUAGAGGAUGCUUCGAGCAUGGUCUGGCCUAAGUUCCUUGGAACAGGACGUCAUAGAGGGUGAGAAUCCCGUAUGCGGCCAGGUGCCUACGCUCAUGUGAAGCUCCUUCGACGAGUCGAGUUGUUUGGGAAUGCAGCUCAAAAUGGGUGGUAAAUUUCAUCUAAAGCUAAAUAUUGGCCAGAGACCGAUAGCGCACAAGUAGAGUGAUCGAAAGAUGAAAAGCACUUUGGAAAGAGAGUUAAACAGUACGUGAAAUUGUUGAAAGGGAAGCGCUUGCAACCAGACUUGCGCGCGGCCGAUCAUCCGGUGUUCUCACCCGGUGCACUUCGGCCGUGCUCAGGCCAGCAUCGGUUUUGGCGGCUGGAUAAAGGCCCUAGGAAUGUAGCUCCUCUCGGGGAGUGUUAUAGCCUAGGGUGCAAUGCAGCCUGCUGGGACCGAGGACCGCGCUUCGGCUAGGAUGCUGGCGUAAUGGUUGUAAGCGGCCCGUCUUGAAACACGGACCAAGGAGUCUAACAUCUAUGCGAGUGUUUGGGUGUCAAACCCAUACGCGUAAUGAAAGUGAACGGAGGUGAGAACCCUUAAGGGUGCAUCAUCGACCGGUCCUGAAGUUUACGGAAGGAUCUGAGUAAGAGCAUAGCUGUUGGGACCCGAAAGAUGGUGAACUAUGCCUGAAUAGGGUGAAGCCAGAGGAAACUCUGGUGGAGGCUCGCAGCGGUUCUGACGUGCAAAUCGAUCGUCAAAUUUGGGUAUAGGGGCGAAAGACUAAUCGAACCAUUGACCUGUAGGAACACUACUAGGUGGUUAAGAGGCGGCUAAAAGUGCCGUCUAGUCCCGACGCCGGGGCGACACUGUCAAAUUGCGGGAACAUCCUUAGAGCCUAGACUACCGCAGCCUUCCUGAAAGGGGGGUGCGCACCAGGGUAAUGACCUCGGGUAUGGUAAUAACGUCUAGGAUUGGACAAUCCGCAGCCAAGCCCUACGGACCUCGGUCUAUGGGUGCAGUUCAUCGACUAGAUGGCAGUGGGUGGCAGCAAUGCCGCUUAAGAUAUAGUCAGACCCCCGGGAGACCGGGCGGCAGAAUGAAGACCGUGGGGGGCGUCCUCUCUGAGAGCCCUGCGGUCCCGAGUCUGCUGGUGGCGUCGCAGCU